AUUGAACGCUGGCGGCAGGCCUAACACAUGCAAGUCGAGCGGAUGAAGGGAGCUUGCUCCUGGAUUCAGCGGCGGACGGGUGAGUAAUGCCUAGGAAUCUGCCUGGUAGUGGGGGAUAACGUCCGGAAACGGGCGCUAAUACCGCAUACGUCCUGAGGGAGAAAGUGGGGGAUCUUCGGACCUCACGCUAUCAGAUGUGCCUAGGUCGGAUUAGCUAGUUGGUGGGGUAAAGGCCUACCAAGGCGACGAUCCGUAACUGGUCUGAGAGGAUGAUCAGUCACACUGGAACUGAGACACGGUCCAGACUCCUACGGGAGGCAGCAGUGGGGAAUAUUGGACAAUAGGCGAAAGCCUGAUCCAGCCAUGCCGCGUGUGUGAAGAAGGUCUUCGGAUUGUAAAGCACUUUAAGUUGGGAGGAAGGGCAGUAAGUUAAUACCUUGCUGUUUUGACGUUACCAACAGAAUAAGCACCGGCUAACUUCGUG
rnacentral:rRNA from 1 species